rnacentral:sRNA from 1 species
AGUCGAUGGCACGAUGGUUUCCCGCCAUCCGCGUCGACUGUUCCCCUCUGGAGGUUUUUUGACCUUCACACUUGACGGGCCGCGGAGAAAUCCGUUGGCCCGAUUUU